UUCCGGUUGAUCCUGCCGGACCCGACUGCUAUUUGGGUGAGAAUAAGCCAUGCGAGUUGAAUGGGAUACCUAAAGUUCCCAUAGCAAACUGCUCAGUAACACAUGAUCAACUUACCCUAUAGAGAAAAAUAACCUCGGGAAACUGAGGAUAAUGUUUCAUAAUUGAAUUGGCUUGGAAAAGUUUUUCAAUGAAAAGGAUAAAAAAAAUGGUUUUUAUCUGCUAUAGGAUAGGAUCGUGUUCGAUUAUGGUUGUUGGUGAGAUAAUGGCUCACCAAGCCGAUAAUCGAUAGGGGCCGUGAGAGCGGGAGCCCCGAGAUGGGUACUGUGACAACGACCCAGGCCUUACGAGGCGCAGCAGGCGCGGAACCUCUGCAAUACACGAAAGUGUGACGGGGUUACCCAAAGUGUUCAAUAGAACUGUGGUAGGUGAGUAAUGUCCCCUACUAGAAAGGAGAGGGCAAGGCUGGUGCCAGCCGCCGCGGUAAAACCAGCUCUUCAAGUGGUCGGGAAUAUUAUUGGGCUUAAAGUGUCCGUAGCCGGUUUGGUAAGUUCCUGGUUAAAUCUGGCAGCUUAACUGUCAGUCAGCUAGGAAUACUGCUAUACUAGAGGGUGGGAAAGGUUUGAGGUACUCCAGGGGUAGCGGUGAAAUGCGAUAAUCCUUGGGGGACCACCAGUGGCGAAGGCGUCAGACUGGGACACGCCUGACGGUGAGGGACGAAAGCCAGGGGAGCGAACGGGAUUAGAUACCCCGGUAGUCCUGGCCGUAAACGAUGCGUGCUAGGUGUUGGUAGGGCUUUGAGCUGUAUCAGUGCCGUAGGGAAACUGUUAAGCGCGCCGCCUGGGAAGUACGCUCGCAAGGGUGAAACUUAAAGGAAUUGGCGGGGAAGCACCACAAGGGGUGAAGCCUGCGGUUCAAUUGGAUUCAACGCCGGA
rnacentral:rRNA from 1 species